rnacentral:tRNA from 3 species
GCGUCCUUAGCUCAGUUGGACAGAGCAACGGCCUUCUAAGCCGUAGGUCACAGGUUCGAAGCCUGUAGGACGUAC